rnacentral:rRNA from 1 species
UGCCUACGGGGGCGCAGCAGUGGGGAAUAUUGCACAAUGGGGGAAACCCUGAUGCAGCAACGCCGCGUGAGUGAAGAAGUAUUUCGGUAUGUAAAGCUCUAUCAGUAGGGAAGAAGAAAGACGGUACCUGACUAAGAAGCCCCGGCUAACUACGUGCCAGCAGCCGCGGUAAUACGUAGGGGGCGAGCGUUAUCCGGAUUUACUGGGUGUAGAGGGAGCGCAGGCGGCGUGGCAAGUCAGAUGUGAAAACCCGGG